rnacentral:rRNA from 1 species
GACGAACGCUGGCGGCGUGCCUAAUACAUGCAAGUCGAACGCAGUGGGGCCGGGUGAGUAACCCGUGGGUAACCUCCCAUCAGAGGGGAUAACACUUGGAAACAGGUGCUAAACCGAUAUUGAUGUAUGGACCCGCGGUGCAUUAGCUAGUUGGUGAGGUAACGGCUCACCAAGGCCACGAUGCAUAGCGGGCCUGAGAGGGCGAUCGGCCACACUGGGACUGAGACACGGCCCAGACUCCUACGGGAGGCAGCAGUAGGGAAUAUUCGGCAAUGGGCGAAAGCCUGACCGAGCAACGCCGCGUGAGGGAAGAAGGUUUUCGGAUCGUAAAAUGCUGUUGUAAGAAAAGCGGUACCUAACCAGAAAGCAACGGCUAACUACGUGCCAGCAGCCGCGGUAAUAC